rnacentral:rRNA from 1 species
UACGUAGGGCGCAAGCGUUGUCCGGAAUUAUUGGGCGUAAAGAGCUCGUAGGCGGCCUGUUGCGUCCGCUGUGAAAUCCCGGGGCUCAACCCCGGGCCUGCAGUGGAUACGGGCUGGCUAGAGGCAGGCAGGGGAGAACGGAAUUCCUGGUGUAGCGGUGAAAUGCGCAGAUAUCAGGAGGAACACCCAUGGCGAAGGCAGCAAACUGGUCAUCAACUGACGCUGAGGCGCGAAAGCGUGGGUAGCAAACAGG